AACAAAAGAAAGUGAGGGAUUGAGUGAUGAGUAUAUCUUGAAAGGGAGAAAGAGUGAAGAGAGAUAAUAGCAAUAAUGCUCUUUGCUUUAUAUAUAUAUAUU
rnacentral:misc_RNA from 1 species